GCAAACUUGGUCAUUUAGAGGAAGUAAAAGUCGUAACAAGGUUUCCGUAGGUGAACCUGCGGAAGGAUCAUUAGUGAAAUAACCUGGGACUUGACGUCCCAAACCAUCUCACAUCCACACACCUUUGUGCACUGUUGAAUGGGCCUAAUAAAUAUAUAUAUAUUUUUGGGCGUAUUCUAUUAUCUUAAAAACAUCUUAUGUAUGUAAGGAAAGUGUUAUCGAAAGAAAUAAAAAAAAUAAUAACUUUCAACAACGGAUCUCUUGGCUCUCACAUCGAUGAAGAACGCAGC
rnacentral:misc_RNA from 1 species